GUUUGAUCCUGGCUCAGGACGAACGCUGGCGGCGUGCCUAACACAUGCAAGUCGAACGAGGUCCAUGCAGUGGCAACACUGCGGACGACCUAGUGGCGAACGGGUGAGUAACACGUGAGGAACUUGCCCCGGAGACCGGGAUAAGCCCCCGAAAGGGGGUCUAAUACCGGAUGUCCUCACCGAGUCGCAUGGCUUGGUGAGGAAAUGGAUUCCGCUCCGGGAGAGCCUCGCGGCCUAUCAGCUAGUUGGUGGGGUAACGGCCCACCAAGGCAUCGACGGGUAGCUGGUCUGAGAGGACGAUCAGCCACACUGGGACUGAGACACGGCCCAGACUCCUACGGGAGGCAGCAGUGGGGAAUCUUGCGCAAUGGGCGAAAGCCUGACGCAGCAACGCCGCGUGCGGGAUGAAGGCCUUCGGGUUGUUAACCGCUUUCAGUGGGGACGAACCAAGACGGUACCCACAGAAGAAGGUCCGGCCAACUACGUGCCAGCAGCCGCGGUAACACGUAGGGACCAAGCGUUGUCCGGAUUCAUUGGGCGUAAAGAGCUCGUAGGCGGUUCGAUAAGUCGGGUGUGAAACCUCCAGGCUCAACCUGGAGACGCCACCCGAUACUGUCGUGACUAGAGUCCAGUAGGGGAGCGUGGAAUUCCUGGUGUAGCGGUGAAAUGCGCAGAUAUCAGGAGGAACACCAGCGGCGAAGGCGGCGCUCUGGGCUGGAACUGACGCUGAGGAGCGAAAGCGUGGGGAGCGAACAGGAUUAGAUACCCUGGUAGUCCACGCCGUANACGUUGGGUACUAGGUGUGGGGUCUUAUCAACGGAUUCCGUGCCGAAGCUAACGCAUU
rnacentral:rRNA from 1 species